UUUUUAUGGAGAGUUUGAUCCUGGCUCAGGAUGAACGCUGGCGGCGUGCCUAAUACAUGCAAGUCGAGCGAACAGACGAGGAGCUUGCUCCUCUGACGUUAGCGGCGGACGGGUGAGUAACACGUGGAUAACCUACCUAUAAGACUGGGAUAACUUCGGGAAACCGGAGCUAAUACCGGAUAAUAUAUUGAACCGCAUGGUUCAAUAGUGAAAGACGGUUUUGCUGUCACUUAUAGAUGGAUCCGCGCCGCAUUAGCUAGUUGGUAAGGUAACGGCUUACCAAGGCAACGAUGCGUAGCCG
rnacentral:rRNA from 2 species